CCUACGGGGGGCAGCAGUGAGGAAUAUUGGUCAAUGGGCGGGAGCCUGAACCAGCCAAGUCGCGUGCGGGAUGACGGUCCUAUGGAUUGUAAACUUCUUUUGUCGGGGAACAAAGGCCCCUACGGGUGUCCGGAUGAGUGUACCCUACGAAUAAGCAUCGGCUAACUCCGCGCCAGCAGCCGCGGUAAUACGGAGGGUGCGAGCGUUAUCCGGAUUUAUUGGGUUUAAAGGGUGCGUAGGCGGACAGUAAAGUCAGCGGGAAAAAUGCGGUGCCAAACGCCGUACAGCCGUUGAAACUGGCAGACUUGAGUGGGGGAGAGGUAUGCGGAAUGCGUGGUGUAGCGGUGAAAUGCAUAGAUAUCACGCAGAACUCCGAUUGCGAAGGCAGCAUACCGGCGCACGACUGACGCUGAGGCACGAAAGCGUGGGUAUCGAACAGGAUUAGAUACCCCGGUAGUC
rnacentral:rRNA from 1 species